rnacentral:rRNA from 1 species
GUGUCAGCCGCCGCGGUAAUACGUAGGGUGCAAGCGUUAAUCGGAAUUACUGGGCGUAAGGCGUGCGCAGGCGGUUAUAUAAGACAGAUGUGAAAUCCCCGGGCUCAACCUGGGAACUGCAUUGGUGACUGUAUAGCUAGAGUACGGCAGAGGGGGAUGGAAUUCCGCGUGUAGCAGUGAAAUGCGUAGAUAUGCGGAGGAACACCGAUGGCGAAGGCAAUCCCCUGGGCCUGUACUGACACUCAUGCACGAAAGCGUGGGGAGCAAACAGGAUUAGAAACCCCGGUAGUCC